rnacentral:rRNA from 1 species
GAACUGGCGGCGUGCCUAAUACAUGCAAGUCGAACGCUUCUUUUUCCACCGGAGCUUGCUCCACCGGAAAAAGAGGAGUGGCGAACGGGUGAGUAACACGUGGGUAACCUGCCCAUCAGAAGGGGAUAACACUUGGAAACAGGUGCUAAUACCGUAUAACAAUCGAAACCGCAUGGUUUUGAUUUGAAAGGCGCUUUCGGGUGUCGCUGAUGGAUGGACCCGCGGUGCAUUAGCUAGUUGGUGAGGUAACGGCUCACCAAGGCGACGAUGCAUAGCCGACCUGAGAGGGUGAUCGGCCACAUUGGGACUGAGACACGGCCCAAACUCCUACGGGAGGCAGCAGUAGGGAAUCUUCGGCAAUGGACGAAAGUCUGACCGAGCAACGCCGCGUGAGUGAAGAAGGUUUUCGGAUCGUAAAACUCUGUUGUUAGAGAAGAACAAGGAUGAGAGUAACUGUUCAUCCCUUGACGGUAUCUAACCAGAAAGCCACGGCUAACUACGUGCCAGCAGCCGCGGUAAUACGUAGGUGGCAAGCGUUGUCCGGAUUUAUUGGGCGUAAAGCGAGCGCAGGCGGUUUCUUAAGUCUGAUGUGAAAGCCCCCGGCUCAACCGGGGAGGGUCAUUGGAAACUGGGAGACUUGAGUGCAGAAGAGGGAAGUGGAAUUCCUGUGUA